rnacentral:snRNA from 1 species
UUGUGUGGUCCGUGACUCUAAGU